UUGCUUACCAUUCAGCCAUAGUAAUGUGUAUCAUAACUAGAAAACAUUUUAAAGGACGGAAACAUGUACAAAUUACAACAAUUAUACCAUGUAUUCAACUUAUUUAUGAUAAAUUGCAGUGGUAUACUCUAAAGUAGGGUAUAAAAGUAUAGGUCACAAGUUCUUAAUGAAUUGAAUAUGGAUUAAUAACAUAACAUUUAUAAUCAACAUUUAUAUAUAUUUAUCACAGAUCAACAUAUGCAACUUCCCAUCAUUCAUUUCUGUACACCAAUAAACAUAUUAUUACAGACAUUUCUGU